rnacentral:rRNA from 1 species
UUAUAAGUAAGUUUAAUUAAUUAGAGAUUAAAUGAAAUCAUUAAAUUAAAAAAAUUUGGCGGUAUUUUAAAUCAUUAGAGGAACUUGUUAAUUAAAUGAUAUUCCACGAAUAGAAUGUCCUAAUAAAAUUUUAUGUAUUGUUGUAGGAAAAUUAUUUUAAAAGAAGGAUAAUUAAAAUAUUUAAUUUAAUUAAAAUUCAAAUCAAAGUGUAGAAUUAUUAGGUUUAAAUGAGUUACAAUUUAAUAUAAUAUUAGAAUUAUUUUUUUAAUUAAAAUAAUGAAAGAGGAUUUAAAAGUAAAUUUGAAAAAAUUUUCAGAUUGAAAAGUUAUCUAAAAUAUG